GUCCACGCCCUAACGAUGUCAACUGGUUGUUGGGUCUUCACUGACUCAGUAACGAAGCUAACGCGUGAAGUUGACCGCCUGGGGAGUACGGCCGCAAGGUUGAACUCAAAGGAAUUGACGGGACCCGCACAAGCGGUGGAUGAUGUGGUUUAAUUCGAUGCAACGCGAAACCUUACCCACCUUUGACAUGUACGGAAGUCGCUAGAGAUAGCUUCGUGCUCGAAAGAGAACCGUAACACAGGUGCUGCAUGGCUGUCGU
rnacentral:rRNA from 1 species